GCCUGUGUAGCUCAAUGGAGAGAGCACCCGCUUACGAAGCGGACGGUUCCAGGUUCGAAUCCUGGCGCGGGCG
rnacentral:tRNA from 1 species